rnacentral:rRNA from 1 species
AUUGAACGCUGGCGGCAUGCUUUACACAUGCAAGUCGAACGGUAACAGGCCGCAAGGUGCUGACGAGUGGCGAACGGGUGAGUAAUGCAUCGGAACGUGCCCAGUAGUGGGGGAUAGCCCGGCGAAAGCCGGAUUAAUACCGCAUACGACCUGAGGGUGAAAGGGGGGGAUCGCAAGACCUCUCGCUAUUGCAGCGGCCGAUGUCAGAUUAGCUAGUGGGUGGGGUAAAGGCCUACCAAGGCAACGAUCUGUAGUUGGUCUGAGAGGACGACCAGCCACACUGGGACUGAGACACGGCCCAGACUCCUACGGGAGGCAGCAGUGGGGAAUUUUGGACAAUGGGCGCAAGCCUGAUCCAGCAAUGCCGCGUGCAGGAAGAAGGCCUUCGGGUUGUAAACUGCUUUUGUCAGGGAAGAAAUCUUCUGGGUUAAUACCUCGGGAGGAUGACGGUACCUGAAGAAUAAGCACCGGCUAACUACGUGCCAGCAGCCGCCGUAACAC